rnacentral:rRNA from 1 species
GACAGAGGGGGCAAGCGUUGCUCGGAAUCACUGGGCGUAAAGGGCGCGUAGGCGGGAUGGCAAGUCGGUCGUGAAAUCCCUGGGCUCAACUCAGGGGGUCGGCCGAUACUGCCGUUCUUGAGGGAUGCAGAGGAGACUGGAAUUCCCGGUGUAGCGGUGAAAUGUGUAGGAGUAGGUGGAGGAACACCGGUGGCGAAGGCGGGUCUCUGGGCAUUCCCUGACGCUGAGGCGCGAAAGCGUGGGGAGCAAACGGG